CCUACGGGAGGCAGCAGUGGGGAAUCUUGCGCAAUGGGCGAAAGCCUGACGCAGCAACGCCGCGUGCGGGAAGAAGGCCCUCGGGUUGUAAACCGCUUUCAGCAGGAACGAAAAUGACGGUACUUGCAGAAGAAGGUGCGGCCAACUACGUGCCAGCAGCCGCGGUGACACGUAGGCACCAAGCGUUGUCCGGAUUUAUUGGGCGUAAAGAGCUCGUAGGCGGUUCGGUAAGUCGGGUGUGAAAACUUUGGGCUUAACCCAAAGCCUGCAUCUGAUACUGCUGUGACUAGAGUUCGGUAGGGGAGCGGGGAAUUCCUAGUGUAGCGGUGAAAUGCGCAGAUAUUAGGAGGAACACCGGUGGCGAAGGCGCCGCUCUGGGCCGAUACUGACGCUGAGGAGCGAAAGCGUGGGUAGCAAACAGGAUUAGAUACCCUGGUAGUCCACGCCGUAAACGUUGGGCACUAGGUGUGGGUUUCAACCGAACGAAAUCCGCGCCGUCGCUAACGCAUUAAGUGCCCCGCCUGGGGAGUACGGCCGCAAGGUUAAAACGUCAAAGGAAUUGAACGG
rnacentral:rRNA from 1 species